rnacentral:misc_RNA from 1 species
UCUCCGUAGGUGAACCUGCGGAGGGAUCAUUACAGAGUUCUCGCCCCCGCGGGUAGAUCUCUCACCCACUGUUAUCGUUACUGUGUUGCUUUGGCGGGCCGCCGGGCCCCGCUCGGCCGCCGGCUCCGGCUUGCGCGCGCCCGCCAGAGGCCCAGCAAACUCUGAAUGUUAGUGUCGUCUGAGUACUAUAUAAUAGUUAAAACUUUCAACAACGGAUCUCUUGGUUCUG